rnacentral:rRNA from 1 species
UACGAAGGGGGCUAGCGUUGUUCGGAAUUACUGGGCGUAAAGCGUGCGCAGGCGGCUUCUCAAGUCAGGGGUGAAAGCCCAGAGCUCAACUCUGGAAUUGCCUUUGAGACUGAGGGGCUUGAGUACGAGAGAGGUGAGUGGAAUUCCCAGUGUAGAGGUGAAAUUCGUAGAUAUUGGGAAGAACACCGGUGGCGAAGGCGGCUCACUGGCUCGUAACUGACGCUCAUGCACGACAGCGUGGGGAUCAAACAGG